rnacentral:rRNA from 1 species
UUUUAAAUGAUUUGAGAUGGCCUCUCGCCCUAUUCAGUGUAACAGCUGUGGUAGUGGGUUUGGUCGCUCGCAUUUAAAUUGGAAGGGUAAUGGUGGACCGCACUUCUCCCUUAGUAGGACGUUGCGACCUGUCAAAUAAUAUCCUAAGUAUUUGGCUAAUUUGUCUGUUUUUAGGCAGUACUGAAAGGUAUUUCCUUUAACAGUUUUAGCCGUUUAGAUACUGGAUAUAAUUGACAGUAACGAAUCAUGGUGUUGAGCCACUUACUUUGUAAGUGUCCUUUAUGGCUGUUUGCAAGUGGGUUGGUUAAUUAGUUUUAGUCGGAUUUCGGUCCGUCUAACUAUUCCGCCUACUGUUGGUAAACUGUUCCUUGGACAGUGCUUAUAACACCGGUCGGCAGCGAUUCAGGUUCAGGCUCUUAUCCGACCCGUCUUGAAACACGGACCAAGGAGUUUAGCGUGUACGCAAGUCAUUGGGUGUAUAAAACCCAAAGGCGCAAUGA